rnacentral:rRNA from 1 species
GUGCCAGCCGCCGCGGUAAUACGUAGGACGCAAACGUUGUCCGGAUUUACUGGGUGUAAAGGGUGCUCAGGCGGUCUUGUAAGUCAAUGGUGAAAUCUCCCGACUCAAUCGGGAAACUGCCUUUGAUACUGUGAGGCUUGAGUGCAGAAGAGGCGGAUGGAAUUUCUGGUGUAGCAGUGAAAUGCGUAGAUAUCAGAAAGAACACCAGUGGCGAAGGCGGUCCGCUGGUCUGUCACUGACGCUAAAGCACGAAAGCGUGGGGAGCAAACAGGAUUAGAUACCCCGGUAGUCC